rnacentral:SRP_RNA from 1 species
GGUGGGGGCCUGACCGAGCUAAAGGUAUGAACCUGGUCAGGUCCGGAAGGAAGCAGCCAUAAGUGCUGGAGGUUGCGGCUCAGGGCACCCCCAUCCGU